rnacentral:lncRNA from 1 species
AUGUUUAGAUUUUGCCUUUUGCACUUACCUUCACUGCAAUUUAUAAUCCUUUUAGAGCACAAGACUGCUGAUGUAGAAUUGGAAGAGGAAAUUCAAUCUGUUCUUCAUGAAGCUCUCCAUUCCCAGCCUGGAGAGAGUCAUGAAGAUGUAGAUGAAAGUUUAAGUGACCAAUGGGAAAUAAAGGAAGAAAUACGUGGAGAAACUUUUGAAGCUCCUGCAACAGAUGACAUGCUCAGAGAAUUUGAGAAUGAAAUUCCAGAAGCAUAUGAGACACCAGACUCAGUUCAGAAAGAUGCUGAUCUCAUGGUGGAUGAUGUUGGAGCAGUGGAGUCUGAAUCCUAUGAAAUUCCAGCCUUAGAUAAUUAUGUUGCAGAUUUGGAAGACAGAGUAAGUGAUCCAGACACUCCAGGUGACCCUGAGGUAAUGCCAGAAGAUGCUAUGGAACAUUACGCAGAGGAUAGAGUGCAUGAAGAUUAUAGUGAAGACCAAGAGGAAAUUAAUGAAGAUUUUGAUGUUGCUAAAGACCUCUCAGAAGUAGAAAGUAAGCAAACAGAAGAUGAUGUGGCCAUUGAACAAGAGGAAUCAGAAAAACCUGUUAAAGCUGAAGAUCAUUCAAAUGAUGUUCAAGUGGAUACUUAAAGCUUCAAAAGAAAAGUCCCUACAUCAGGAGGACCAGUCCUAACCAUACGCUACAAAAGGGGAACAGAUGGUUGUAAUAGACCUUAUGAUGUAAUUACCAAGCAGUUCAGGGUUUGGGGAAUGAACACUAAGAUGCUGUAAAUGGGUUUUAGCCAACUGUCAUUUUAGUAAGCAUUUUUAACACUUGGUUGUUUAGUUUACAUUCCUGUCUGAUAUUUUUUUCCCUUGGUCAAGUUUAGUGAAUUCAUUAUUUUUCUUCUGUGUUUGUGACAGAGUUACAACUUAGGGCUGCAUUUCAUGUACUGUUUAAGCAAUUGUUAAUAUUCUAUUUAUAACAUAGCAGCAAGUACAUUUUUUUCAGAUUUUAAUAUAUAUCUUUUGUUGUGGAUUCAUACAGUAUGUACAGAGCUGUUUGGUCAAAUGAAACAUAUGAUGUUAUGAAUUUUUAAAUGUUUCAUAACUGCUGAUAUAGCAUACAGCCUAAUUGCAUUUUGUUAAGAAACAGUAAUCAGGCACACACUAUGCUGUGAAGUUUGAUUUAUAUCUCUUUGCACUGAUGUUAUGUCAACAGUAAAUGACAUGAAUUUCAGGUGAUUUUUAAAACACCCUAAAAAGGUAUGAAAUGUGUGUUUAAUUCAUACUAGUAAAAGGCCAGAUUACAAAAUUACAGUUUUCAAAACCCCUUUAUGUAUGAAUUAGCACUUUUUAUUUAUGCUCAUCUGAUUUUUCAAGCAAGAAUGUCUAGAGACUACAUGCUAGCCUGACAGGAGUCAGUGGAGAUUGCAACAAGACUGAGUUGCUGGAAUCAGGUUGAAUUCAGUAAAAUUAUUUCAUUUUGGUUUGUCUACCAAUAUAAUGCUCUCAAAGCUUUAUGUUCAGUAAAUUAUUUUAAAAGUCAAAUUUUCAUAAACACUUGAUUUGCAAAUUUUAUUUUUUAAAAAUGCUUUGGAAAUUCAACCUUAAGAAAAAUUCAAAAUUUAAGACGUACAGUUAUGAAUACUCUUAAAAAUGGUACAUCUGAAAUUUAGGUACUGUGAGUGACUUAGAAUUUUAAUAUAACAGGUGUGCUUUUUACCUGUUCUGUGCUGCUGUUCCACAAUUACGAAGACAUACUUUAUUCUUUGAUAUCUUGCAUGUGUUCCUUUUUGGCUCAGGAAUAAUUGCUGUGAUUUUAGGAAGUUGCCAAGCCUGUUACAGGAGCUUAGGAAAAAUAAUGUAAGAUAAAUUUAUAAAAAGAAAAAUCAAUUUGGUAACCCUAACAGUUGGUUGCCUUUUGGUUUACAGGGAGACUUUCAAUUUCUGUAACACUGUUUUGAAGUCAGGGCUUUAGAUGCUUACAUUUAUAGUGAAAGGAGCAUCAUAUAUGCUUGCCCUUUUUUUGGGGUUGGGGUGUCAGUAAGACUCCACGUGAGUGUUACACCUGAUCAAUAAAUACAGAUAUCCCAAGUGAUUUCUUUAGACUUUUCAGGAAAGCAAUAAUACUCUUAGACUGUGAUGUGUUUUGGAAUGGGAUAUUCUAGUAAAAUUACCUGUGAUUGUGAAUUGCAGAGCAAUAAUUUUUACAAAGCCAUAUUUUGUGACGAAUCUUGGGAAUUAUUUUAGGAUGGUGAAUGGAGAACUUUUUAUAUAACAGUGGCAGCCUAUUUGUAGAAUUAUGGGACUGUGAGAGUAUGUUACGCUGUGAUUGAAUUUUAAGUAUUUUGUAACUGGGUAUGUGAUUUUACGUGCUUCAUGUUUACAAAAAUAUGCCAAGCUGAGCAAGGUCAAGUGGACUAUUAAAAUAUGUAUAUUUAAUCCAUUUUAAUGUUUGGCUGCAAUAAAACACAGAAGAAUAUAUUUGUCUUUCUAUUGUCAUUAUUUAUUCCUAAAUGUAUUGGAUAUUAGCUCUAGGGAUAAAUGUUUGACUCAGCCACUAAUUAGUAUUGUUUUUUAAAUUGUGAAUUUGAGUAUUAAAAAUACAUAUUUGAAAGUAUUGUUUACAAGGAGGAAGUAGCAAGUUAAAUAUAAUAAUUUUAUUUCUGGCUGCUGUUAUGUGAAGGAUAUAGGCAGUACGCUAAGGGCUGUGUCUCCUAUAAUUAUAUUGUGAUUGUGCUUUUGGAAUAUUAACAUUCUGCAACCAGUUAGGCCUGAAUUUUUUUCAUGAAACAUCAUUUCUGUUUGUAAUUUGUAGUAGAUGAGAUAGCACUUCUUAACAAACACAAAUAUCUGAGGAAAGUGAUAUAUCUGCUUUGCAUAUAGAAUACUAUGGUUAUGGUCCAUAGUUUAAAUCAGAGAUCUAGUAAGGUGCAUGCACUUCUGUGAAAGCAGCAAUCUUCCUUGAUCUUUCCAGUUUUCAACCUCCAUAGCUUUAAUGAUCUGGUAUUGCUGAAUAGUAGUUUAGGAAAAAAAUCAGAAUAUUUCCUUUUUCCAUGUAUUUUCACUUUGCUACAUAGCCUCUUGUUAUAUGUCAGUAAAUCUGUUAAGAAAUACCAGUAAGCAAAGAAUGGAGUACUAAAGUGAUAUAUUAAUACUGCAAAUUUACUACAAUUUAAGUGACUUUAACGUUCUCUGUAAUUGAAAAGGUACCAUAUCAUCAUACUUCUUUCUAAGAAGUAAAGAAAAUGUCUAAGAUUUGAUACAGGAAAGAUACUGAAAAAUGUAAUGAUUUUGUUGAACAUCAUUUGUAAUUUUAUAUAUUUCAAAAAUUGCAUAUCUGUAAAUAAGUUGUAUUAUGCAUUUAUAGUGUUGAUUGAAAUUCAUGUAAAAUCUACAAGGUCUGAAACACAUUUUUAAUUGUGACUUGUGUCAUUUUCGUAUGCCAUCAAACAUUUAGUUGUAUUGUAAUAUAAAAAAUAAAUUUAUUCUUCC